GACGAACGCUGGCGGCGUGCUUAACACAUGCAAGUCGAACGGAAAGGCCCUGCUUUUGUGGGGUGCUCGAGUGGCUAACGGGUGAGUAACACGUGAGUAACCUGCCCUUGACUUUGGGAUAACUUCAGGAAACUGGGGCUAAUACCGGAUAGGAGCUCCUGCUGCAUGGUGGGGGUUGGAAAGUUUCGGCGGUUGGGGAUGGACUCGCGGCUUAUCAGCUUUUUGGUGGGGUAGUGGCUUACCAAGGCUUUGACGGGUACCAGGCCUGAAGGGGUGACCGGCCACAUUGGGACUGAGAUACGGCCCAGACUCCUACGGGAGGCAGAAGUGGGGAAUAUUGCACAAUGGGCGGAAGCCUGAUGCAGCAACGCCGCGUGCGGGAUGACGGCCUUCGGGUUGUAAACCGCUUUCGCCUGUGACGAAGCGUGAGUGACGGUAAUGGGUAAAGAAGCACCGGCUAACUACGUG
rnacentral:rRNA from 1 species